UAGGAGUUACUCUUGACCUAUCAGAA
rnacentral:piRNA from 1 species